GGCCUACGGGACGCAGCAGUGGGGGAUAUUGGACAAUGGGGGGAACCCUGAUGCAGCGACGCCGCGUGAGUGAAGAAGUAUCUCGGUACGUAAAGCUCUAUCAGCAGGGAAGAAAAUGACGGUACCUGACUAAGAAGCCCCGGCUAACUACGUGCCAGCAGCCGCGGUAAUACGUAGGGGGCAAGCGUUAUCCGGAUUUACUGGGUGUAAAGGGAGCGUAGGUGGCAGGGCAAGUCAGAUGUGAAAACCCGGGGCUCAACUCCGGGAGUGCAUUUGAAACUGUCCAGCUAGAGUGCAGGAGAGGG
rnacentral:rRNA from 1 species